GGGUUGUGAGGUUAAGCGACUAAGCGUACACGGUGGAUGCCCUGGCAGUCAGAGGCGAUGAAGGACGUGCUAAUCUGCGAUAAGCGUCGGUAAGGUGAUAUGAACCGUUAUAACCGGCGAUUUCCGAAUGGGGAAACCCAGUGUGAUUCGUCACACUAUCAUUAACUGAAUCCAUAGGUUAAUGAGGCGAACCGGGGGAACUGAAACAUCUAAGUACCCCGAGGAAAAGAAAUCAACCGAGAUUCCCCCAGUAGCGGCGAGCGAACGGGGAGCAGCCCAGAGCCUGAAUCAGUGUGUGUGUUAGUGGAAGCGUCUGGAAAGGCGCGCGAUACAGGGUGACAGCCCCGUACACAAAAAUGCACAUGCUGUGAGCUCGAUGAGUAGGGCGGGACACGUGGUAUCCUGUCUGAAUAUGGGGGGACCAUCCUCCAAGGCUAAAUACUCCUGACUGACCGAUAGUGAACCAGUACCGUGAGGGAAAGGCGAAAAGAACCCCGGCGAGGGGAGUGAAAAAGAACCUGAAACCGUGUACGUACAAGCAGUGGGAGCCUCUUUUAUGGGGUGACUGCGUACCUUUUGUAUAAUGGGUCAGCGACUUAUAUUCUGUAGCAAGGUUAACCGAAUAGGGGAGCCGAAGGGAAACCGAGUCUUAACUGGGCGUUAAGUUGCAGGGUAUAGACCCGAAACCCGGUGAUCUAGCCAUGGGCAGGUUGAAGGUUGGGUAACACUAACUGGAGGACCGAACCGACUAAUGUUGAAAAAUUAGCGGAUGACUUGUGGCUGGGGGUGAAAGGCCAAUCAAACCGGGAGAUAGCUGGUUCUCCCCGAAAGCUAUUUAGGUAGCGCCUCGUGAAUUCAUCUCCGGGGGUAGAGCACUGUUUCGGCAAGGGGGUCAUCCCGACUUACCAACCCGAUGCAAACUGCGAAUACCGGAGAAUGUUAUCACGGGAGACACACGGCGGGUGCUAACGUCCGUCGUGAAGAGGGAAACAACCCAGACCGCCAGCUAAGGUCCCAAAGUCAUGGUUAAGUGGGAAACGAUGUGGGAAGGCCCAGACAGCCAGGAUGUUGGCUUAGAAGCAGCCAUCAUUUAAAGAAAGCGUAAUAGCUCACUGGUCGAGUCGGCCUGCGCGGAAGAUGUAACGGGGCUAAACCAUGCACCGAAGCUGCGGCAGCGACGCUUAUGCGUUGUUGGGUAGGGGAGCGUUCUGUAAGCCUGUGAAGGUGUACUGUGAGGUAUGCUGGAGGUAUCAGAAGUGCGAAUGCUGACAUAAGUAACGAUAAAGCGGGUGAAAAGCCCGCUCGCCGGAAGACCAAGGGUUCCUGUCCAACGUUAAUCGGGGCAGGGUGAGUCGACCCCUAAGGCGAGGCCGAAAGGCGUAGUCGAUGGGAAACAGGUUAAUAUUCCUGUACUUGGUGUUACUGCGAAGGGGGGACGGAGAAGGCUAUGUUGGCCGGGCGACGGUUGUCCCGGUUUAAGCGUGUAGGCUGGUUUUCCAGGCAAAUCCGGAAAAUCAAGGCUGAGGCGUGAUGACGAGGCACUACGGUGCUGAAGCAACAAAUGCCCUGCUUCCAGGAAAAGCCUCUAAGCAUCAGGUAACAUCAAAUCGUACCCCAAACCGACACAGGUGGUCAGGUAGAGAAUACCAAGGCGCUUGAGAGAACUCGGGUGAAGGAACUAGGCAAAAUGGUGCCGUAACUUCGGGAGAAGGCACGCUGAUAUGUAGGUGAAGCGACUUGCUCGUGGAGCUGAAAUCAGUCGAAGAUACCAGCUGGCUGCAACUGUUUAUUAAAAACACAGCACUGUGCAAACACGAAAGUGGACGUAUACGGUGUGACGCCUGCCCGGUGCCGGAAGGUUAAUUGAUGGGGUUAGCGCAAGCGAAGCUCUUGAUCGAAGCCCCGGUAAACGGCGGCCGUAACUAUAACGGUCCUAAGGUAGCGAAAUUCCUUGUCGGGUAAGUUCCGACCUGCACGAAUGGCGUAAUGAUGGCCAGGCUGUCUCCACCCGAGACUCAGUGAAAUUGAACUCGCUGUGAAGAUGCAGUGUACCCGCGGCAAGACGGAAAGACCCCGUGAACCUUUACUAUAGCUUGACACUGAACAUUGAGCCUUGAUGUGUAGGAUAGGUGGGAGGCUUUGAAGUGUGGACGCCAGUCUGCAUGGAGCCGACCUUGAAAUACCACCCUUUAAUGUUUGAUGUUCUAACGUGGACCCGUAAUCCGGGUUGCGGACAGUGUCUGGUGGGUAGUUUGACUGGGGCGGUCUCCUCCUAAAGAGUAACGGAGGAGCACGAAGGUUGGCUAAUCCUGGUCGGACAUCAGGAGGUUAGUGCAAUGGCAUAAGCCAGCUUGACUGCGAGCGUGACGGCGCGAGCAGGUGCGAAAGCAGGUCAUAGUGAUCCGGUGGUUCUGAAUGGAAGGGCCAUCGCUCAACGGAUAAAAGGUACUCCGGGGAUAACAGGCUGAUACCGCCCAAGAGUUCAUAUCGACGGCGGUGUUUGGCACCUCGAUGUCGGCUCAUCACAUCCUGGGGCUGAAGUAGGUCCCAAGGGUAUGGCUGUUCGCCAUUUAAAGUGGUACGCGAGCUGGGUUUAGAACGUCGUGAGACAGUUCGGUCCCUAUCUGCCGUGGGCGCUGGAGAACUGAGGGGGGCUGCUCCUAGUACGAGAGGACCGGAGUGGACGCAUCACUGGUGUUCGGGUUGUCAUGCCAAUGGCACUGCCCGGUAGCUAAAUGCGGAAGAGAUAAGUGCUGAAAGCAUCUAAGCACGAAACUUGCCCCGAGAUGAGUUCUCCCUGACUCCUUGAGAGUCCUGAAGGAACGUUGAAGACGACGACGUUGAUAGGCCGGGUGUGUAAGCGCAGCGAUGCGUUGAGCUAACCGGUACUAAUGAACCGUGAGGCUUAACCUUACAACGCCGAAGCUGUU
rnacentral:rRNA from 1 species